rnacentral:rRNA from 1 species
UACGAAGGGGGCUAGCGUUGUUCGGAAUUACUGGGCGUAAAGCGCACGUAGGCGGGUUGUUAAGUCAGGGGUGAAAUCCCGGAGCUCAACUCCGGAACUGCCUUUGAUACUGGCAACCUAGAGACUGGAAGAGGUUAGUGGAAUUCCCAGUGUAGAGGUGAAAUUCGUAGAUAUUGGGAAGAACACCAGUGGCGAAGGCGGCUAACUGGUCCAGUACUGACGCUGAGGUGCGAAAGCGUGGGGAGCAAACAGA